rnacentral:rRNA from 1 species
UACAGGGGGUGCUAGCGUUGUUCGGAAUUACUGGGCGUAAAGGGCGCGUAGGCGGUUUAGUAAGUCAGAUGUGAAAUCCCGGGGCUUAACUCCGGAAGUGCAUUUGAAACUACUAGGCUAGAGUACAGUAGAGGUUAUUGGAAUUCCCAGUGUAGAGGUGAAAUUCGUAGAUAUUAGGAAGAACACCAGUGGCGAAGGCGGCUCACUGGCCCGGUACUGACGCUGAGGCGCGAAAGCGUGGGGAGCAAACAGG